rnacentral:rRNA from 1 species
ACUCCUACGGGAGGCAGCAGUGGGGAAUAUUGCACAAUGGGCGCAAGCCUGAUGCAGCCAUGCCGCGUGUGUGAAGAAGGCCUUCGGGUUGUAAAGCACUUUCAGUCGUGAGGAAGGUAGUGUAGUUAAUAGCUGCAUUAUUUGUACGUUAGCGACAGAAGAAGCACCGGCUAACUCCGUGCCAGCAGCCGCGGUAAGUACGGAGGGUGCGAGCGUUAAUCGGAAUUACUGGGCGUAAAGCGCAUGCAGGUGGUUGUUAAGUCAGAUGUGAAAGCCCGGGGCUCAACCUCGGAAUAGCAUUUGAAACUGGCAGACUAGAGUACUGGUAGAGGGGGUAGAAUUUCAGGUGUAGCGGUGAAAUGCGUAGAGAUCUGAAGGAAUACCGGUGGCGAAGGCGGCCCCUGGACAGAUACUGACACUCAGAUGCGAAAGCGUGGGAGCAAACAGGAUUAGAUA